rnacentral:lncRNA from 1 species
UGAUAAUCUGCUUUUCCACAUGGAUGGUUAUGUUUCUGCUCGAGGGUGCAAAUGCAGCAGACCCCCGGUAGAGGAGAACAGCAUGCAGCAUGCCCGGAACGUCAGCAUCAUAUUUGGUUCCAUACUCCCCAGGCACUUCCCACCAGAUACUUUCUAUUAUCUGACUACUUGCUGCUGUAUCUUCAGGACAUAAGGUCAGUCCUGAAUAGCUCAUGGUGAAACAGAUGAUGAUUACAGCUGCCUGCCACUUAUGGAGUCCCUGUGCGCUAGACACUGUGUCACAUGGGUGUCAACUGUAUCUAGUCCAAAGAAAGUCAAGAGAUUUCUUUUUAAUGAUGAUGUUAACCAAAAGUGAAGAAUUACAUUUCAAAAACAAGUCCCCAGCUCUUCACCUCUCUCCUGAGCUCUGGACCCAGAUGCCCAAUGGCUCAGAAACAUCUCCAUGUGCAUGUCAUACCUGUUCACAAUGGUUAGAACAAUAGGGAAGAGACGGGACAUAAAAUGGAGAAAAAAUGUACAAAGUAGACAGACAGAGGACCUGAAGAAAGAGAUGCCAAGAAAACAAGUGGGAAGGUCAGCAAGGAUAACUUGGGAAAGGAGACAGUAUUCAUCUACACCACAGUUUUGCGUGAAGCCUGUCUAGCUGUGUGUGGAGAAACAGAAGAUGUCCUCAGAGAUGAUUUAUCUCUUUUAUGGCCUCUGGCGCACGUAGAUCAAAUGAAGUCCUGCAGAUAAGCCUGCAUUAUGUCAGUAAGCCCCCCCAAUACUUAUCCGCAGCUAGGGAGGGAGAACUGUCAUUGAAAAGGCGUGGGUGUUAAAUAGAACAGAUCUGAACUCCAGUCCCUUCUCAUUCCCUUAUCAUCGUAAUCACCUUAACCAGGUUAUUUCACCGAGCCCCGGUUUCCUUGUAAGUGAUGUGGAGAUGAUAUCGUCCUCACUGGACUGAUGUGAGAAUCAAAUAUGACAGCAGACACAGCAUUGGAUUAAGGGCCCAAAGCAGGUGUUGAUAAAUGGUACUUUCUUCUUGUCCUUCAUUGUUUUAUUGUUUUCCACUAUUUGUAGCAGGCAAUUGGUGAUUAGUUAGUCCUAAAUAAAUAUCUUUCUGUUGACUGCGUAGGUACA